UUUCUCCCUGUAAUUCUAUAACAAAGCUCUUAAACCAUGGAGAGUCUCUGCUCCAGCAAGAUCUGCUCUGCACUCUAUAAUAUCUAUUCUUAGAUCAGUGCCUUGUAAAGCCGCCAUAUGAGAAGCUUCCUCCGCAUCAGAAGGAAACAUAUUAAAGGCCCUCAGACAGACAUUAUGGAGAGAGAGCGGGAAGCUGGGAAGAGUGGAGGGAGGGUGGGACUGUAGUCAGGAUGGACUGUAUAAGAGAUGAAUCUAUGUUCAAUUAACAAAAUUUAAAAAACUAUACAACUCUAAAAGAAGAUUCUUCAAGUGUACAAUUGAAAAAUUACUAUAAAACAUUCAUUUGGUAGAAGGAAGCUGAAAAGAUAAAGCCUCUUGUAUGUCCUGCUGGAAAAUGACCACCUAAGAAAUGUUUUCUCUGUGCUUACUAAGAAAGAUUUACAAAGACCACACAGAUGUGGUCUUUGGGGAUAUUUUACAUCUUAAGUCUGAUAAUGGAACGUAGCAUUACUAGCUUAAGGGUUUGUUUUUGCAAAUCUGAAGACCAUUGGAGUGAGAAGCUUUAUAUCAAGGAUCUGGAAAACUACUGAAACCAGAGUCCAGAAAUGUGGGGUCAUUUGCCAAGGACAUUGACCAUACUGGGUGGAGCAGCUUCAAGAGAGAACCCAUGUAUUUUAUAAGCAACAGAGCUGGAGGUGCACGAUUCCCCAAGCCAGCUGGAAUACAGGCCUAUCAUGCCUCAAGAUUACUGCCAUGGAGCUUGAAUUGUCAUAUAAACCAUUCUGACCUCAGAGUCAUAAUACUCCUACCUUCCAAUUGAUACCAUCAUAGGUAUGUCACCUGACCUAGGAACCGGGUCAGUAUCUUAGAGAAGAAAUGAUCAUCUGGAUUACCUAGAAUGAACUAUGAGAACUGAUGGUAACUUUAUAUAUAUAGGUUAACAAUCAUACCUUUUAAAAAGAGGACUUCAUCAAGAUACACAUCAAGUAAGUAUAUAAAACGAUACUGCUAUAAAGCCAAUUGAUACAAAUGUAGACAACAGGGAGCUGCCACUACCUGUCUCUUAGAUGCCAGAGUCCCUAACAGUGAAAGUCCUGGAGGCUAAGCUGUGAAUCAACAAGUUUUAUUUCUUCCUUCAGAGGGGUGUGGCAAUGUGGGAUGAAGGUUCAGAAGUUUCAUAGAAAACUAAACUUACAGAAUGAACCAUUAAUUGGACCCUGUGGAAUUUCUCCCAAGGACUUAGAAGCUUCUGUCUGUACAAAGACUUGCAAGCAGAUAUAUUUAGAAGCUUCUUCAUUCAUAGUAGCCAGAACUUGCAAGAAAACAAGAUGUCUUCUAGUAAGUGAAUUGAGAAGAAAACCAUGGUACAUCUGGACAGUGCUACAGAAUGAAAGUUCAAGACAUAAAAAGAAUGUGGGAACCUUAAAUGUUCAUUGUAAAGAUAAAAAAGCUCAGUUCUAUAGCAUAACAUAAUUCGUAUUUUAGGAUUUCUCAGCUAAGCUUGGAGCUCACUGAUAAGGCUAGUAUUAUUUGCCAGAUUUGUCUGGAGAUCCACAGUCUCUGCCUUCUGAACCUGCAGUGGGCAUCCUUUCCCACCCAGCAUGUACUUGGGUCUUCAAAUCAACUGUUAAUUCCUCUGGUUGGAAACAGGAACAAAAAAAUGGAGCAGGGACUGAAGGCCAUCCAGUGACUGCCCUACCUUAGGAUCCAUCCCAUCUCUGCAGACAUCAAACCCGGACAGUAUUUUUGAUGCCAAGAAGUGUUUGUUGCCAGGAGCCUGGUAUGGCUGUCCUCUAAGAGGCUCUGCUGGCACCUGACCAAUACAGAAUCAUAUUCACAGCCAACAUCAGAAUGAGCCCAGGACCCCAACAGAAGAAUUAUGGGAAGGACUGAAGGAGUUAAAGGGGAUUGCAACCCUAUAGGAAGGAACAACAGUAUCAACUAACUGGACCCUGCUUCCCCCAAGAGCUCCCAGGGCCUAAGACAAGGUAACAUUUUCCAAAUUUGAUGCCAAAGCUUCACUGUCAAUGGUGUCCCUACCCAGGGCAUUUGGGAUAGUAUGAGUAACAAGGCAAGGCAGUGUCCUAGAGCACAUCUUUAAUCUGAGCACUCAGGAGGCAGAGGUUGGAUCUGUUGUAACCAUUCAGGAGGGACCUGUCAUGAAGAGUCCACAAAUACUCAUCCCUUGCUUCUCCUUUGGGUGACAAAAAUUUUGGAGUCCUAGAACCAGCUGAAGAGGUUUUUCUUAUGACUGUAAUAAUUUUAGCUUUACUGCAUGGUAUUAGAACUGCACACCUACAUGUAGCACCUGGACCAAUGGGUUUGCAUGUGUGAAGAAGGGGCAGAAGAGAAUUUUCAGUAGAUUGUGGAACUGGAAGUCAAUUUGGUGUUGGAAGCAAGAAAAUGACAUCAUGCCUCAGAACUGGAACCUUACCUACCUCUCUUCUCCCCAGUAAACAUUCUGAUGAAGGAGUAAACAUUCAGCAAUUCGUGAUGAUGUCCUUUCACAUGCUUCUCCUAUGUACCUCUGCAAAUCUGAAUAAAUGUGGGGAAAGAGGCAAGAAGGCAAGACCAUCAGAAGAAUCUAAAGUAGACUCCUAAAUACUGUCAUCUUUCCUUAGACCUAUCAUCAAUACAACUCAAACUGUUUUAAGCACUCCAACAUAUUUUCUACUACCUAUAAAGGCAAUGUUCAAGGCUAAGCUAGCCAUUCUGGUAAGUCCUCAAUUGUUAGUCAGUCUCAGAUUCCAACUCUGCUUUCCUUUCUGGUUCACCUGUGUCUAUAUAAAAACAUCAUUUAAUAGUAUUCAUUUUAAAUAAAAUCUUUUCCCCAAAAGAGAUGUGCCUUGAUGAUUCUGAAUCCUUCCAUCAUGGUUCUGAAGUGUUCCUCAAAUGACCAAAUGAUAAAAUGCUUGGUCACCGGCCUGAGACACCAACGCAAUACUAGAAGCUUUAAGAGGUCUUUCAGGGUGAGUCUAAACAGAGAAGAGAAGAAGAGAAGAGAAGAGAAGAGAAGAGAAGAGAAGAGAAGAGAAGAGAAGAGAAGAGAAAAGAAGAAGAGAAGAAGAAUCUCUGUGGAAAUAUUUGCAAAGUCAUAGCAAAGGAUAAUUGAAUUACACCUAUUGACAUGGGAAUAAAAGUUUUAAAUU
rnacentral:lncRNA from 1 species